rnacentral:rRNA from 1 species
AUACGGAGGAUCCGAGCGUUAUCCGGAUUUAUUGGGUUUAAAGGGUGCGCAGGCGGCCAUUUAAGUCAGCGGUUAAAUCGUGGGGCUCAACCCCAUUCUGCCGUUGAUACUGGGUGGCUUGAUUGCGGUCGAGGUUGGCGGAAUUCGUUGUGUAGCGGUGAAAUGCAUAGAUAUGACGAAGAACACCGAUUGCGUAGGCAGCUGACCAGACCGCAAAUGACGCUCAUGCACGAAAGUGCGGGGAUCGAACAGGAUUAGAUACCCUUGUAGUCCGCACAGUAAACGAUGAAUACUUGUUUUCGGCGAUAUAAUGUCGGAGGCAAAGCGAAAGCGAUAAGUAUUCCACCUGGGGAGUACGCCGGCAACGGUGAAACUAAAAUGAAUUGACGGGG